rnacentral:rRNA from 1 species
GGGGUAGGAGGUGCCAGGUGCCGCGGGAAGGCGUAGAGGGGAUGUGUGAUGCGGGAUUAUGGGGCGGAAAGGGGGUGGUGGGGGGUUUUUAAGGCUGAGGUGAAAGCCCGCGGCUCAACCGGGGAGGGGCAUUGGAAACUGGAAAACUGGAGUGCAGAAGAGGAAAGUGGAAUUCCAGGUGUAGCGGUGAAAUGCGCAGAGAUAUGGAGGAACACCAGUGGCGAAGGCGACUUUCUGGUCUGCAACUGACGCUGAUGUGCGAAAGCGUGGGGAUCAAACAGGAUUAGAUACCCUAGAGUC